rnacentral:rRNA from 1 species
AGCAGUCGCCGCGGUAAUACGAAGGGUGCAAGCGUUAAUCGGAAUUACUGGGCGUAAAGCGUGCGUAGGCGGUUUGUUAAGUCUGUUGUGAAAUCCCCGGGCUCAACCUGGGAAUGGCAAUGGAUACUGGCAAGCUAGAGUGUGUCAGAGGAUGGUGGAAUUCCCGGUGUAGCGGUGAAAUGCGUAGAGAUCGGGAGGAACAUCAGUGGCGAAGGCGGCCAUCUGGGACAACACUGACGCUGAGGCACGAAAGCGUGGGGAGCAAACAGGAUUAGAUACCCCUGUAGUCCCUGUCUCUUAUAC